AUUGAACGCUGGCGGCAGGCCUAACACAUGCAAGUCGAGCGAGCGGCGGACGGGUGAGUAAUGUCUGGGAAAAUGCCCGAUGGAGGGGGAUAAAUACAGGAAACGGUAGAUAAUACCGCAUACCAUCAGAGGUGCCCAGAUGGGAUGAGCGAGUAGGUGGGGUGACGGCUCACCUAGGCGACGAGCCCUAGCUGGUCUGAGAGGAUGACCAGCCAAACUGGAACUGAGACACCGGCCAGACUCCCACGGGAGGCAGCAGUGGGGAAUACUGGACCAUGGGGGGAACCCUGAACCAGCCAUUCCGCGUGUGUGAAGAAGGCCUUCUGGUUGUAAAGCACUUUAAGCCGGGAAGCGUUACUCGCAUAAUAAGCACCGGCUAACUCUGUGCCAGCAGCCGCGGUAAUAC
rnacentral:rRNA from 1 species